AUCCUUUUGGUUAUCGUCGUAGUAUAUAGAGUACACUACGAGCACACAGAAACCAACUAAAAUAUAACAAUUUUCCUCGUUAGUGGACAUAUAUUGUCUUACCAUCUUUGGCAGUUGUGGGUCUAUUUUUCAAAGUCAGUCGAUUUGUUGGAAUUUUUCACCAUUACCGCAAACCCCAGAAACAAUAAUGAGAUGUCAUGUUUUGGCGUGCGUCAUUUUUACGUUUGUCUUCUUCACAUACUCUGUCUGCAGCAGUGCAUCCAUCUCUGAAGGAGGAACCCGCCAUUUUGAAAAGAAUAUUGCGUCAACCAAGUACUAUAGGGGCUCAAAUGUGUCAUUAUGGUCUAACUCGAAAACCAGAUUACGGUUAACGGAUCUUACACAAACCGAAGGAGAUGAUGAGUAUUUGAAUCACAUUAUCAAAGCUUUAUCAUUGAGCAGACGAAGGCGAGAUAGUAGCGAAGAGUCGGAUGCUGAAUCGGAGGUGGAAUCUGAAUCUGAAUCCGAAUCAUCCACAUCUGUAUCCGAAUCCGAAGUAGAAUCCGAAAUGCAAUCGGAGUUUGCCCUGCUGGCUAGCAACCUGACGAGCUCAGCAAAUUCGAGAUUUAAGAGCAUUGGGACUUUUUGGAGGGCAAAUUGGGGAAUUCUACCUGGAACAUUUAUAGUCACCUGUUUAAUUUAUGCUCCAUGAACUAGUGUUGCCGAGAUGAAAAUAUUCUUUUAGCACGUUUCAUCUCAAGCAACGUUGUUCACAAGAAAAUUAACUUUACACAACCAUCAAAUUUAAUCAUCACCGCGGCUAUGAAAGCCUGGUCUUGUCACUUUUAUUGAUGUGAUUUGUAUAAAUGAUUGAUUGAAUUGAUUGAUUAUCAAAGUAUGUAUGAACGCGUUAUAAUUAAUUCCGAGCACUCAUCACUUUGCCUAUAAAAUAAUUAAUAUUCUAUUUGACAAUGUAUCUGACAUUUAAAAUAUUGGAUAAACAUGAUAAAGGUGAUUGUUCGGUCAUGUUCAGGAGGGGUCUAGCAUUUUUUAUUUAUAAAAUAAAAAUGUACACUACUUUAAAUCCAUAAAAAGUAUGGUCUAGGUGCCUUGUUGAUGUUGUUGUUGUUAAUGUAUAAUACAAGCUUGUGAAUUAGAUGUGUUAUUUUCAUUCAACUGUAUGUUGGCAUGGCGGCUGCUAUGGGCGUGGUCUGUGGAUUAUGUCUCGUGAUUUACUAUUUUGUUCCCCUCCCCCAUGCACUACAUAAAUGUUUGAUGGAUUUCUAAGGGUUUAGCAUUGAACUAACCCCCUUUUCAAUCAUAAGGAAACUAAGAGUUGGAUCAUAAUCUAGAAGAAACGAACGGUGACAGCAUGAAUGAAUGAAUUCAUGUUUAUGAAUAAAUACGUUUCUUGUUUUCUUGUAAAUCUUAUCAUGUUAAUUACAAUGGUUAAGUACUACUUUAUUCUAUACAUUCUUGAUGAACCGUGUAUCAUAAUUAUGUAAGCUCUUGCAGCACUCGUAAUUUAUGACAAAUAUCCUGACGCUUUUAAAAGAAAUUGCAACAAUGCAUAUAGCAAACAAGCAUUAUGUAAUAUGCUUCUCAUAAGUAUAACACGUAUAAUGUUUGAUUUAUUGGGUCUAUAUGCAUGUACAGUUAUGAAGUCACCAGUCCUCAUAUAUGACAGUGAUUACUGAACACUGGCCAAGUUCUACUUCCAAUUAACAAAGAUAAUUGAUUGAUUCCCGCCUUUACACGAUCUUUAGAGAAAUGUAAACUGUUAUCUGAUAGUUUCAAAGUAUACAGUACAUUAAUGUUUUCUACAAGAUUUAUUCUAGCAUCGUACUCAACUGAGCAAAUUAUAUCUUUUGGUCAACCAAGAAGCUCACAUUCGUGCAUCAAAGACAGUAAUCGUGGUGUAAGAUAUCAUUUCGAACCAAAACAAGAAGCUUUUUUUCUGAGAACAAAGUUCGAUCAGUUAAUGCAUUUCUACAGCGUCAUACCUCGUGUACAUAAUAAACAUGUUCAGCACAGAGAAUCGGUAAAAAGCAGGUGACAAUGUUUAUGAUAUAAGCUAUUUCAAAAAAGAAAAUGAUAUAAAUACUCUACUGACAUGUCACCUAUGGUAGAUACAUACGAAUUAAUGUACAUUUGAACCUAUUGUAACAUAAUGUCAUUUAUUAUGUCAUUUUGUAUAGUUCUUGACAUUAUUGAUUUUUCCUAGAGAAUGGUAUUAUGUUAUAUUAUUUUGUUAAUUUUAAGUAGCAAUAUAUCAAAAGUUAUGUUAAAUUAAACUCUCACUACUGUCGACGACCAGCGACUCAUA